rnacentral:rRNA from 1 species
UCUGGCUCAGAACGAACGCUGGCGGCGCGUCUUAAGCAUGCAAGUCGAACGGCAAGAGGUAGCAAUACCUCCUAGAGUGGCGGACUGGUGAGUAACACGUGGGUGACAUACCCUUCAGAUGGGGAUAGCUAUUAGAAAUAGUAGAUAAUACCGAAUACGAGCACAGGGGUUAGAGAUCUGUGAGGAAAGGAGCUAAGGCUCCGCUGAAGGAAUGGCCUGCGGCCCAUUAGCUAGUUGGUGAGGUAAGAGCCCACCAAGGCGAUGAUGGGUAUCCGGCCUUAGAGGGUGAACGGACACAUUGGGACUGAGAUACGGCCCAGACUCCUACGGGAGGCAGCAGCUAAGAAUAUUCCGCAAUGGACGAAAGUCUGACGGAGCGACGCCGCCGUGGAUGAAGAAGGCCGGAAGGUUGUAAAAUCCUUUUGAAACUGAAGAAUAAGCGUUGUAGGGAAUGACAGCGUGGUGACAGUAGGUUUUGAAUAAGCAACGGCUAAUUACGUGCCAGCCGCCGC